CCUCUCUGAGCUCUUCCUCAAAGUCCUGUUGAUGAGCUUUUAUCCCACCGUCAACAACAAGGGGCUGAGAGAGUGACUGAUUUUGUACCUAAGGAGGGACUAGAACUCACAGUCUCCCAGCGAACCGGUAGUAAAGACCAACCCAGAGUCUCACAUUCACAAGUAAUGCGAAAACCUGGCUAGCCCAAUUCUACAAGCUGCAUCCACUUCUGGACAUAGCCUGGAGGUGGCAUUUUCUAAUAGGCUAAAAGACAGAUGUCAUCUUUAUGCUACAAGGGGAAGUGGACUGAAGUCUAGAAGAAGUGACUAUCAUACAGAGCAGCGGUCACCAACUGAUUUACUGCAGAGUCCUUCCAAAGAACUACCUUGAAACCUAGUUGUUUUUCUGAAAAGAAACAACCUUCAAAAGGCAAGAAAAGUAAUUUGAAGCUAGAUAUAUGCCAAGAGAUCAACAAUUACACUGUAGGAAGGAAACAAUCUGAAACCGCUUCCGAAAAAUGUUGCUGAGAAAAACUGUAGUCCAGGCAGUCACCAAGGGUCAAAAACUGACAGGAGGAGGAGGAGGAAGAAGAGAAAAAGAGAAGGAAAACGCGAGGAAAGAUAUGACCGAAGGAGCUGCAUGCAACUCAUUUUACUGUCCAAUUGCUAACUCAUGAACAGGACAGAGUAUCUUUCCACUUAGCCUGUGGCAGACAGCAGGCUUAGAAAGGCAAAGAAAUAAGAGUGCAGUCCUGCCAGGGUGCCAGGCUAUGCUAGCCAGAAGGAUUGGAGAGCUGAGGAGAAGGAAGACUCCAUAACAUACUGCAAGAAGCCAUAAGAGUGUGUGGGUUGUAAUGUUCGUCUUGCCCUAUCCCUUCCUUGCUCAGAAAUAUAGAUCAUCCUUUAUCAGCAUCUAAGCAUCACACCAGCAAAAUGUUCAAUGGGUUGUUGUUGUUGUUUUAGUCCAUAGAAAAGAAGAAAUGGUCAUGACCCAAGUUCCUCUUUCAAUAGAUUGUCUGGUUUUGCCUUGAGAAAUGUGCUCAUUUAGUUUUGAAGAUGUGAAAAUGUGGAAGAGAAACAUUCAUUAUAAUUACAUGGUACAGCUUUUCUGCUGUCUGCAUACCCAUUGCUGUACAUGUCUUGAAAACUGUGCCUUUUCUCUUUUAAAAUUUUGUAAGCCGUUUCUUCCAAUUAGAAAAUGAGAUUGUUUUACUGAUAGGAAAUAGUUUAGUUCAUUCCAGGUCAAAUCUGACUCUAUUACAUCUGUACUGAGAUUACUGGGCUCUAGUAGGAUCUAACUUUGUUGCUAAAGUCUACUUUCCUCAGCCAAACUCCUCUCAGUUACCCAACCAUUUACAAUAUCUAAUUUGCUUUUCAGCUAAGAAACUACUUAAGAAAGUCUCAUUUUACUGUGCCAUCAACAAUAUAAUAGCUGGGCAAGCCACAUUUUUUUUCAGUGUUCUUAAUCCUUAACUCACCAUAAUAUGAGAAUUCAUCAGAAGAAUCUACCUCAAGAGUUGGUCUUGUUCCAUUUAGCCAACUAGCAUUGUGGGUGCCAAUUUUAUUGUUGAAGUUAUCAGCACCUUUCCAGACUUUCAGGGACACGCAGUCAAUUGGAGAUAAAACAAAUCUGUUACACCAUCAGUUUCACCAUUCCUGUACUGGGGUAAGAAGCCAGAACGAAAAGGUGGGGUUGACAUCUCCCGUGAUCUGUCUGCAAUGUUCAUCUUAUGUCUCAGGCAUUUUUGAGCCAGCAAAUGCAAAUGUUAAUAAUACUAUUAACUCCAUAAUCCCCUUCUCUAUACAUAAGUACCGUAGAAAUCUCAAAAGUUUCUAAUCUUCCAGUCUAUAUCAUGCAUGACUUCUACC